rnacentral:rRNA from 1 species
AGAGUUUGAUUCUGGCUCAGAAUGAACGCUGGCGGCGUGGAUAAGACAUGCAAGUCGAACGAAAACACUGAAUAGCUUGCUAAUUAGUGUUUUAGUGGCGGACGGGUUAGUAACACGUGAGCAACCUGCCUCGAAGCGGGGGAUAGCCUUCCGAAAGGGAGAUUAAUACCGCAUGUGGUCUUCGGACCAAAGACGCCUUCGGGUGUCACUUCGAGAUGGGCUCGCGGCCUAUCAGCUUGUUGGUGAGGUAAUAGCUCACCAAGGCUACGACGGGUAGCUGUUCUGAGAGGAAGAUCAGCAACACUGGAACUGAGACACGGUCCAGACACCUACGGGUGGCAGCAGUCGAGAAUCAUUCACAAUGGGGGCAACCCUGAUGGUGCAACGCCGCGUGGAGGAUGAAGGCCCUAGGGUCGUAAACUCCUGUCAUGUGAGAGUAAGGCAUAGUCGGUUAAGAGCUAACUAUGUUUGAUAGUAUCACAAGAGGAAGGGACGGCUAACUUCGUGCCAGCAGCCGCGGUAAUACGAAGGUCCCGAGCGUUAUUCGGAAUCACUGGGCGUAAAGAGUACGUAGGCGGUUUGGUAAGUCAGGUGUGAAAUCCCGGAGCUCAACUCCGGAACUGCAUCCGAUACUGCUAGACUAGAGUAAUGGAGAGGCAGGUGGAAUUCUCGGUGUAGCAGUGAAAUGCGUGGAUAUCGAGAGGAAGACCAAUGGCGAAGGCAGCCUGCUGGACAUUUACUGACGCUGAGGUACGAAGGCCAGGGUAGCGAAAGGGAUUAGAUACCCCUGUAGUCCUGGCAGUAAACGGUGCGCGCUUGGUGUAGGAGGACUCGACCCCUUCUGUGCCGGAGCUAACGCGUUAAGCGCGCCGCCUGGGGAGUACGGUCGCAAGACUAAAACUCAAAGAAAUUGACGGGGACCCGCACAAGCGGUGGAGUAUGUGGCUUAAUUCGAUGCAACGCGAAGAACCUUACCCAGACUUGACAUGUAUUGCUAAACCGGUGAAAGCCGGGGACCCUUCGGGGACCUUACACAGGUGCUGCAUGGCCGUCGUCAGCUCGUGUCGUGAGAUGUUUGGUUAAG